AAGAGGUAGAAUGUAAGUCCCUGGGGGAAAGAGUCUCCAUGUGUGUUCAGUGUUUUGUGUGUGAUGAAACCUAUAUGUGUUUUCAUUUUCUUUCCUCUAAGAAACUUUUAUAUACAUAUUAACAGUUGCAGAGUGUUAAUGGGAGAAGAGAAAUGAGCAUAAAGUAAAACUAUGAUGUCAUAUCACCUUAGAAUACUAAAUCAGGCUGGGAGUGCUCAGAAGAAUUCAGAGCUUCUGAAUUUCAGACUGGUCCACACUUGACUCAUCUGGCUAUUCAAAGUGAAUGUAGCUUCAGAAUUAGGGAACUUGAUAUCGUGAACCCCCUGCAAAUCCGCAGC
rnacentral:lncRNA from 1 species